GCAGCAGUGUGCGGCCGAAUGGUUACGCUGUCCGCUUUGUAAGCGGAUGAUUCUGGGUUCGAUUCCCAUCUGCUGCA
rnacentral:tRNA from 1 species